CUUGAAUCUACAUGAAUGUAGGUGAAGAACCAGAAACAACUGAGGUCUGUCUACUGAAAAAUUGAAAAACCAAACUCUUGAAGGGACAUGCCACUUAUUUUACAGGGCAAAGAAAGUACUUACAAGAGUUAUGGUAGAAAUCAGACUAGGAAUCAGCAGAGAUAGCAAUUAGCACUGACAUCCCUGGUGGAUUUGAACAGUGUGAGUCUAUAGUGGCCACUUGCAUCCAAUUCAGUGACUUCCUGGAAGAAGGUACUGCAGCCCGGAGGUGAGAACACAAAAGGGAGGGGAGAAUUGACAUGACAAGGAGAACAAGGAAGCUGGAGGCAAAAAGCCAGACCAUGGCCUUGGGUUCAUGCUUGAGCACGGAGUUUAAAUGAAUGACUUCCACCUGAGAGUCCCCUCUGCCAAGUCGACAUGACAAGGAGAACAAGGAAGCUGGAGGCAAAAAGCCAGACCAUGGCCUUGGGUUCAUGCUUGAGCACGGAGUUUAAAUGAAUGACUUCCACCUGAGAGUCCCCUCUGCCAAGUCCAGGAGGGAUGGAGUAUGCCCUUCAUCUUCAACAUUGAACAGAGUAGAACUCCCCCUAUAGCCAGCAACAUUUAUUCCUGCCUCAUGUCUUGGAAGAUAUUGGGAAUUACCUGAACUUAAGGUAAAAAUUCGAAUUUACUCCUAAGAAUAUAUAUAUAUAUAUAUAUAUAUAUAUAUAUAUAUAUAUAUGUACAUAUACACAUAAAUUGUAUACAUAUACAGACAUAUGUAAAUAUACAUAUGCAUAUACAUAAAUGCAUAUAUACAUUUAUAAAUGUAUAUUUAUAAAUAUAUAUAUUGCCCCCAGCCAAUAUUGGCUGAAUG
ensembl:lncRNA